rnacentral:rRNA from 1 species
AGCGAACGCUGGCGGCAGGCCUAACACAUGCAAGUCGAACGGAUCCUUCGGGAUUAGUGGCGGACGGGUGAGUAACACGUGGGAACGUGCCCUUUGGUUCGGGACAACUCAGGGAAACUUGAGCUAAUACCGGAUGUGCCCUUCGGGGGAAAGAUUUAUCGCCAUUGGAGCGGCCCGCGUCUGAUUAGCUAGUUGGUGAGGUAAAGGCUCACCAAGGCGACGAUCAGUAGCUGGUCUGAGAGGAUGAUCAGCCACAUUGGGACUGAGACACGGCCCAAACUCCUACGGGAGGCAGCAGUGGGGAAUCUUGCGCAAUGGGCGAAAGCCUGACGCAGCCAUGCCGCGUGAAUGAUGAAGGUCUUAGGAUUGUAAAAUUCUUUCACCGGGGACGAUAAUGACGGUACCCGGAGAAGAAGCCCCGGCUAACUUCGUGCCAGCCGCCGCUGUAAGAC